AGAGGCGGGAAUGGGCUUCCAUAGAGAAGGUCGCGAGACGGUUAAUGAGGAGAGAGAGAAAAAAAGUCCGGAGAGGGCUGAGAGCAGGCAGAGAUGUAACAAAAAAUUCAGACAGCUAUAGAUGGAAUCUUAAGGAAAUGGGCCAAGGAAGAACUCAUCAAAGGUAUUUUCCACCCCUAGGUAUGUUUUAUGUUGUUGGGUUUCCCAGAAUUAGAUAAGUGAAAAGAAAUCAUCACUUUCACCUGUUACAACCUGGAUAUUAGCUUUCAAAACAACAACAUUGGAAAGACCAUAUAUGAUUGUUGUCUUGCACUUUUAGGAAAAGAAGAAAUAAAAAAAUUUUCCAAACGCGUAUCUCGAAUGCGACCCAUUACAGGGGAGUUGGUCAGUCUGGUAAAAGGAUUUGCUUCACAUUUUCUGUAAUGGAGACUGCUAUCAAAGUCAGUUUGUUUCCUUGACAUCUCUUGUGUAUGACAUUUGUUUUCAAUAAAGUUAGGAGCAAAAAAGAAAAAAAAAACAAAGGCUAAUUUGGCAGUAAGUGUUUGCAGGUGAAGGCUGCUGGCAGUGAUAUGCAGAACAAGUUGGAGAGUUUAACUCUGAUAUUGAGGUCAAAUAAUUUUCCUUUUUGUGGCCAUUUUUGAGGGGAUGUUACAUUUUAGGCAUAUUUGAGCCGAAAUAUCCCUGGAAAAGAAUCUAUUGAAGAUAUAGGGUACUUAAAAUGUUUCUCUGUAAAUAUAGUGGAUUCCGUGCACACAAAUUUAUAUUCAGUUCACAUGUUAGAAGCCAUAAACACAAUGCAAACUAUAUGUUUUCUUGUGGAAUUGAGAAUUGUAAAGCCACUUUUAAAACAUUCACUGCCUUUAGUUCCCAUAUGCACAGAAAUCAUCGAAGAUUGGAGAACACUGAGGAGGAGAUCUGGAAGUUCACUGGAAAUCUUAGCUGUCAAGUUCCUGGAUGUGGAACGCAGUGAAGCAGAGGACCUAAAUGACACCAUUACUCUGGACCUUUACCCUGCUGUAUCAGAGGAAACAUCAACACAAACUAUUCAUGCACCUUCCUCAACAUCCACCUCUUGCUAUCAUUCCAGCUCAUGGGUUUGAGACUUUCAGAUUUCUUGGCAAAGAUUUCCACUUAGACUGUCACAGGCAAUCACCAGUGGGGUGAGAGCUCAUCCAGAAGACAGGAGGAGUAUGGUCAGAAUUGUUGUGGAGGCCAUGCAAGUUCACUGCAAAACUCCUAAAACGCUCAGCUUGUGAAGAGAUUGCUAAGAUCAUUGUAAAUACACAUCCACAAACAUUUGCAUAUUUUACUGACAAAGGAGAAAGACUAGGUUCUGGCCAUUAUUCAUUACUGAGAAGCAUCAAAUGUAGAGUUGAGCAUGUUAACCGGGAUAAUGUAACACACAGAUUACGUCGACCAAAGAGAACCAGGAAUGAGGAAGACUGCAGUCCAGGGAGAGAUGAUACUUCAAAAGUGGUUCGGCGCCUUGUUGAUAGCUAUGGUUGUAUCAAUUGGCAUCCAGUUCAGCUUCCUGAGGGGGAAACUCAAGCUUCUUUGGAAGAAAAGAAUAGAUUGUUAGCAAAUUUCAGUUCUCAAGGCCCCGAAGCUGUGGAAAGACCUGAGGUAGAGGAUCUUAUGCUCCUCACAUACAUUUCUCAGCGGCAGCUCAACAGCUGUUCCCGUUUCAAUAGCUGAAAUUCAAGAGCAAUGGCCUUUCUUGUUUACACGGAAAUGUUUGUCUAGCCACUUUGAAAGACUUAGUUAUUGAAAUCUGUGAACGUUUGAGUCAGGCCCUCAUUACCAAAGGCAGAAGAAUACUCAACUAUUUUUCCAGCCAGAAGCUCAAAAGGAACCUUGGUAUUAGAAAUUUCAUUCAGGAGAUAGAAGAUGGAGUUUUAACCAACAACAAGGUCGGCACAGCAGCCAUACUUCUCAUGAUGAAGUACUACAAUGAAGAUGAAGACUCCCUUUUCCUUUUGGCAGAUGUACGUAUUUUUUCUCCAACAAUCCUAGAACAAAUGCUGUUUUUUUUAAUGUAUCUAUUUUUCACAUAGAAUGGUUUGUUUUCUUUCAGGAAAUCUCUACCAGGAUGUCCCUGGAAGCAGAGGGAAAUCUGCCUGUCACACCAAGACUAAUAAUGCGUGAGCUGUUAUCUUUUUGUUCCUUGAUUACAUUUUGCUCUCAGUUUAAGAGGGCUUUCUCUGGAAAAGGAGGGCAAAACGGUAACCUAGCAGCAGCCAAAUCUAUAUAUAGCCUCGCCCCUUUUCACGUCUCCAUAUUUCGAUUUGAAACCUCUGCCCCAGACAGUGUCUGAAAAGAGGGAUGGCCAUCUGCUAGAAAACUUUGAGCUGGUUGGAAGAUGCCAGCUAGUGUCCGUCUACUGGCUAUCAUGGCAUGUUGCAUAAUGCGUUUCUCUUAUUUAUUUAGGUAGGAGUUUGUUGACAGCCACUUGCUGGAUGGUGAGUGCAGAAAGGCACAUCAUCUUUGAACUGCAUUCAGCAAACUGCUUUGCUGAUGCACUGUCCGUAUUCUUUGGGCCAUUUUAUGUCCUGAAUCUGGAUUACCAGGAGGCAGCAUGUGUAACAUUGGAGUUAAUUCAAAGGUAUGUCAUAACAUUUAUAUGAUCAGUGCUAUGAUGAAUGAACUAUCCCCAAGUUAGUCGUUAUUUUCCUACAAACCCAGGGUUCUUGAAUUAUACCGAAGAAGGGACAAGAUGUACAUCCAAAUCUGGCACAAGCAGGAAGACUGGGACAAGUGUGAAGCAGAAGGUUGUCCACAUUAAUCCUCGUGUCACAACUUUUCUCCAACGGCUGACAGAAUUUGAGUGGAAAACUUCAAACUAGGUAGCACAGUUUUAACUUUUCUAAACUUGAUUGUAAUACAGUGCAUAAAUUAUGCUAAGCAGGCAAGGUGUUAAAAGUGUAGCUUGUUGCUUUUUGGAACAUACCUGUCUCCACAGAUCACUCAUGGCCCAAGUUGUCUCGACAAGCGAAGAAUGGUCAACCUCUCGCUGUCAUGUUGGGUGAGAGUUUACUGACCCACGACAUGCAGAAUCAUCACAAGAAACCGGCAAGUAAAACGUUCUUUAUUAUUAAUGAGAGGAACGGGAACAGACGUGCAGGCUGGCAGCAAGGCUCCAGGAGAGGAUUCUGAGGAGGGAGAAAGAGUGAGUAUGUGGAGGGAAGGAUGGAGGAUAAUCUGAGGAGUGGAGCUUACUGAUGUAGAUAGUGGUGAGAGCCUCUGGAAGGGCUAGGUCAGGUCCGGGUGAGCAGGAAGGCUCCAGAAGGAGGAGGAACUGUUGAA
ensembl:lncRNA